UCCCUCUUCGUCUCUGUAGUCGCCCGCGACGUCGAUGGCCGGGCCGCCGGCGACGGCGCCGAGGGCCACCGCGCCGCGCCCGGCCGCGCCUCUUUUUCCCUUCCUUUCCUCCCUCCAUAUCUCUAGUGACAGAGAAAGAGAGCAGCGGGGUCGAGCCCUCUCUGAUCCCCAUCACCGCGGACCUCUCUAGCUGUCGGCGGCUGGCUGGUGGCUAGCGAGGCUCCCCGGCGCGGUAACAAGAGUUAGGUUUCGGAUGGCUGAGAUGUAGAAAUGGACUCUUUGUUUCAGGCUCUUCCAGCCUGUAUGCUGCGCAUGGGGCCUGUAAUGUGCUCCACAAGGGAAUUUGACCCGCUAUGUGUCAUGCCCUGGUCAAAUGUGAUGUGAACUCGGUAGGAAUUAACAUGUCCUGGUCAACUGUAACUGGAGUUAAUCUUCUGACUUGUGAACUGCCCGUCUGUUAUCUGAUUUCUAUAGGAAAUAUUCGAACUGGCAUGAGGAGAAACUAACUUCCUUCGGUUAAUGCAUUAGCAUUGGGCUUGUCACUGAAUCUUGCAUUUCAUUUGCCUGCGUUGCAUUUUUUUUCCCAGCAUCAUCUGCUCAUGUCCCACAAAAUCCCUGCUUAUGCCCAUGAUGUUUCCUCAUCCUUUUUGUGUGUUUGGAUCUGUAUUUCAAAGAGA